UGCCGCCCUGAAGGGCGUAUGGUGGAUGCCUUGGCAGACAGUACCGAUGAAGGACGUUUGAGGAUGCGAUAAGCCUCGGGGAGCCUCCAACAUGGCUUCGAUCCGAGGAUUUCCGAAUGGGGCAACCCGCCGGCCGUCAUGGGCCGGCACGGAACCUUGUUGUUCCGGGGGUACGCAGGGAAGUGAAACAUCUCAGUACCUGCAGGAAGGGAUACUCCGUGAGUAGUGGCGAGCGAAAGCGGAUCAGACCAAACCAUGGGCGCGUGAUACCCGUCGGGGGUUGCGUCCGUGGUGUUGCGGGAGCGUGUGUCCCGGUUCCGACGGACCGGGCGGGAGUCAUAAAACGGCUUGCCAGGGGAACAGGCUUGAAGGCCUGGCCGCAGAGGGUGCCAGCCCCGUACCUGGAAGCUUGCCGUCUUCCGAUCAUGUGUCCCAAGUAGCGCGGGCCUCGUGGAAUCCCGUGUGAAUCGGCCCCGACCGUGGGGUAAGUCUAAGCAUACCUGUCUGACCGAUAGCGUACCAGUACCGUGAGGGAAAGGUGAAAAGCACCCCGGGAGGGGAGUGAAAGAGUUCCUGAAACCGUGCGCCUACAAUCCGUCGGAGCCUCCUCAAGUGGGGUGACGGCGUGCCUAUCGAAAAAUGAGUCUGCGAGUCAGUGGUGCGUGGCGAGGCUAACCCGUCGUGGGGGAGCCGUAGCGAAGGCGAGUCUCAAAAGGCGUUUUGAGUCGCGUGCCCUGGACCCGAAGCGGGAUGAUCUAGCCCUGGGCAGGUUGAAGCGCGGGUAAGACCGCGUGGAGGACCGAACCCACCUGGGUUGAAAACCGGGGGGAUGACCUGGGGCUAGGGGUGAAAGGCCAAUCAAAUUCCGUGAUAGCUGGUUCUCUCCGAAAUGCAUUUAGGUGCAGCGUCGGUUGAUUGCAUCGCGGGGGUAGAGCUACUGGAUGCUUGCGGGCCCGUGUGGGGUACCAAUAGCAGCCAAACUCCGAAUACCGUUGAUGUGUAUUCCGGCAGUGAGUCGGCGGGGGAUAAGCUCCGUCGUCGAGAGGGAGACAGCCCAGAUCGUCGUCUAAGGUCCCGAAGCGUGUGCUAAGUGGGAAAGGAUGUGGAGUCGCAUAGACAGCCAGGAGGUUGGCUCAGAAGCAGCCAUCCUUGAAAGAGUGCGUAACAGCUCACUGGUCUAGUGGUUCCGCGCCGACAAUGUAGCGGGGCUCAAGCACACCACCGAAGACGCGGCAGCGGUCUCGUCCCCGGGUGAGUCGGGUCCUAAGGCGAGGCCGACAGGCGUAGUCGAAUGGAUGAACGGGUGGAUAUUCCCGUACCGGCAGCGAACCGUCCGAACUGAACGGAUGAGUACUAACCUCCGGUCGCGUGGCGUCGUUCCCUUCGGGGUUCGGGGCGCGCGGCUGUUGGGAAUGUAGUCCUGGUAGGUUAGCGCACAGGGGUGACACGGAAUGGGAGCCGGCCGCGGAGGUGGUUUUCCGUGGUCAAGCACGCAGCCCGUCCCAUAGGCAAAUCCGUGGGGCGUUGAGGGUGAGGUGCGAUGAUGGGCGUCUUUCAGGCGCGAUAUCCGGUGGUCCAGGCCGUCGAGAAAAGCCUCGGCGCGAGGGGCGUUGCCGCCCGUACCCCAAACCGACACUGGUGGUCAGGUAGAGAAUACCAAGGCGAUCGAGCGAAUCCUGGUCAAGGAACUCGGCAAAUCACUCCCGUGCCUUCGGUAUAAGGGAGACCCCUGAUGGUGAUGGAACUUGCUUCCGGAGCUUUCGGGGGUGGCACAGACCAGGGGGUAGCGACUGUUUACCAAAAACACAGGUGCAUGCGAAGGCGCAAGCCGCUGUAUAUGCACUGACGCCUGCCCGGUGCCGGAAGGUUAAGAGGAUCCGUCAGCCCUUUGGGUGAAGCGGUGAAUUCAAGCCCCGGUAAACGGCGGUGGUAACUAUAACCAUCCUAAGGUAGCGAAAUUCCUUGUCGGGUAAGUUCCGACCUGCACGAAUGGCGUAACGACUUCCCCACUGUCUCGACCAGGAGCUCGGCGAAAUUGCAGUACGAGUAAAGAUGCUCGUUAAGCGCAGAAGGACGAAAAGACCCCGGGACCUUUACUAUACCUUGGUAUUGGCGUUAGGCGCGGAUUGUGUAGCAUAGGCGGGAGGCUUCGAAGCGCGGGCGCCAGCCCGUGUGGAGCCGCAAGGUGAAAUACCGCUCUGUUCUCGUUUGACGUCUCACCUCGAACAGUCAUCCUGUUCAGGGACAGUGCCUGGCGGGUAGUUUAACUGGGGCGGUUGCCUCCCAAAGAGUAACGGAGGCGCUCAAAGGUCCGCUCAGCCCGGUUGGCAAUCGGGUUUCGAGUGUAAUCGCACAAGCGGGCUUGACUGCGAGAACGACGGUUCGGGCAGGGACGAAAGUCGGAGAUAGUGAUCCGGUGCCGGCGCACGGGCGCGGCAUCGCUCAACGGAUAAAAGGUACCCCGGGGAUAACAGGCUGAUCAUUCCCAAGAGUCCAUAUCGACGGGAUGGUUUGGCACCUCGAUGUCGGCUCGUCGCAUCCUGGGGCUGGAGCAGGUCCCAAGGGUUCGGCUGUUCGCCGAUUAAAGCGGCACGCGAGCUGGGUUCAGAACGUCGUGAGACAGUUUGGUCUCUAUCCUCUGCGCUCGUUGGAAUCCUGAGGAGGCCUGCCCAUAGUACGAGAGGA
rnacentral:rRNA from 1 species